ensembl:lncRNA
AAUUUUCUGAGUUUUUUCUUGUAACAUUUUGUCAUUGUUUUCUUGUAAAUUUACCCAGUAUUUUCAGAGUUAGCUAUUUUAUUUCUCAUAAAUUCGCAAGAUUGUUCCUUGUGAUGUGCUUGGAAUUUUUUUAAAUUGCAUUUUUUUUAAAUUAACAUUUUUACUUUUUAAAUUAAGAAGUUUUUAGUAAGUUUACCAGUUGUUUCCAUACAUUUGCUAGCUUGUUUCUCAUUCAUUCGUUUAGCAUUAUCUACGUAAAUGUUUUAUUUUCUCUCAUAUAUUUCAGUUUUUUGAAAAUUUACCAACUAUUUUCAUAGAAAUUUGCAGGUUUUUUCACAUAAAUGUUCUAUUCUUUUCCUCAUAAAUUCACGUUUUUUGUCAUAAAUGUUGACCUUUUUUCCUUCUUUCUUCUUUCUCUUUGAGAGCAGUUUUUCACUCAUAGUGACUCAGAUUAGCAAAUUAUUGCAGCUGGAAGGACAAAAACGACAUAUUGUCACCCAGGUCUGUAGGCUGUCCUCUAACUGGGAGUAUAUUUGCUUAUUCGGCAUGUCAGCUCAUCUGUACAGAACAGGUCUGUGCAACUUAUGGUGUCAAGAGCAAACGGAAGAGGUCAUUUGAGGCUAAACUAAUGUACUAUUUAGUCACUUUGGCUUUUUGGGCUAAUUGGAGAGACCUGCUUUUAAAAACAUAAAUUUUUUUCACUGAUUGUUUCUGUUCUGUCACUUUGCCUUCACCAGUGUUUGGUUAGUAAUCACAAAUCAUCAUUAGGUCUGAAGCUAUCAGUGAUCUCAGUGAUAUUUUUCCCAGAUAAACAUAUCUGCAGUGUGAUGCUACAGUAUGCACAAAGGACUUUAAAUUGAUUGUGUGCAGUUUCACUGGCUUAGCAUCUGGCGCUCGUGAUAAUCCCCCUUCUGUCCUGCAUCAGUCGCACGUAUUGAUGAAGCACUCAGGGCUGUAGUACUACAUUUACUCGGCACAUUAGCCCAUUACAGUUAUGGGCAGGCAAGGAAGAGGUACUUUUAACCUGCACAAACUCAGCGAGUCCGUCACUAGUACCUGCAUGGGGAUGAAUAGCAGCUGUAGGACACGAGACGGCACACAACAACCUGAGAUACAGAAAUAUGGCAUCACAGAGCAGGAACAUGAUCCACUUAACCUGAUUUCUCUUCAGUGUGAACAAAGACAAGGACACGCAGGAGGAACAGAGCAUGUUUCAUUCAUCACUAGCAAAUGACACAAAUAAAAACCACAUUUUCAGGAUCUUUUUUUCUUUCUUGGAAGCACUUCAAUGUGACUUUAUUACAUUUUUGUGUGAGCUAUUUGAAAAAGAAGCCUUUGAUUUUUGCAAUAACACUUACUCAACUUAAACUGAUAGUGAAGGUACUUGUGAAUCACUGUCUCUUUCAUCAUUUAUGUAACUAAAUUUAAACUUAAGAUCAUAUAAUACCAUGAUGGGAUAACGAUACGCAAAUCUUCUCACAACAGCAGAUGCUUUGUAGAGUAAAGUAAACAUCUCCAGUGAUCAGUGGCCUGUAGAGGCUUAAAUAGGUAAGGUCAUGAAGGUGGUCAACUUUUUAUGCUGCAUAUCCAACCUGCUCUGAGAUGAGAUAUCCACACAUGUAUCACCACACCAUACUGACUAAUCAGCUCUCUCAGUGUGCAGAUAGUAAGAGACUCUAAAGUCUUU